UGCCUGAUGGAGGAUGAAGUAAAUACCAGCUGGUGUAGAAUGAGUGGAAUAUAAUUACUCUCCACAAAGUUAAGUGAAUAUUAAAACACAGAAGUCACAGGCACUGGCACUCAUCCCUCCUCAAUUCCACUGCCCAGUAAAUAGCAUCCUGACCUGAUGCUGGCUUCACGACAGCUUCCAGCAGGGAUCUCAGUACUGGGCCUGCUUGUCAGCAGUGCGGAAGCAGCUGGAACACAGGCUGCUGAGAAAGGCAGGAAGUGGACCCCCUUCCAGGAGCAUGGGGAGAGUUCCCUGAUGCCUGAAAGAGGCCGUGUGAUAUCGUGAGAAAAAUGUGGCUCUGGAGCUGGAGAGACUAAUUUCUGUGUUUGAAAUUUACAAGCCACGUGAUCUUCGUCAAGGUCUUUCUCGUCUCUUCUCUGUACCUCAAUUUACUUACCUAGAAAACAAGGGCAACACUGCACUCUGUGAUGAGAAAAUUGUGCUUCCGAAGUUGUUGAACAGAGUUUUGCAUGGCAACAUGGAGGCACAGAUGGAAUGUGACCCGUAAAGGGAUUGGAUCAUUCCUUUGAUGCUGCCUUUCACUGGCCCUGGUGAGCAACCCUCAGCCACGUUCACGGCUUUUUGACACGGCAGUUCACCCGAAAAGAACGUGGUGUUCUUCCAAGUGGCACCCACCCUGCGCCCGACCACGGCAACAGGCGCUGUUCCUCUGAAUAUAUCAUCAUGUAGAAGAGCUUGCCUGGGCCUCCACGAGAGAGAGAGCAUGCGCACACAAGCAGGGAGAGCAACAGGCAGAGGGAGAAGCAGACUCCCUGCUGAGCAGAAAGCCAGAUGGGGGGCUCUAUCCCAGGACUCUGGGAUCAGGACCUGAGCCAAAGGCAGACACUUAACCAACCGAGCCACGUGGGUGCCCCUAGAACGAGAAAAUGAAGAACGGCUCCUGGUGAUUGUGAUUUUCUGCCUCCCUGACCCAGCGCUGAGGAGGGAGACGGCUCAUCCUUCAUGCCCCUUCUUCUGCGGCUCUCACCUCAGGGCGGUGGGCAUCCUUUCCCUGGACAGAGUCCCAGGAUCCGAAGACGGUCAGAGCUCGCUUUGUUCAUCUUCCCAAUCCUUCAGGCCAGAGCGCAAUUCCUUAAAGAGGCCUGAAAUCUGAACAUGGGAGGAAAUAAAAGGGAGAGAAGAACCCAUGUGCAUUAACCAUUUCCUCUCCGUCAGGCAUCAUACCAAAUACUUCGAGGCCAGGGCUGGAAGGUGACUAGGUGCACGAACUGAAAAAGGUCCUGUCCAGGUCCCUGUACUCUAAGGUCACCCCUCAACAACAUAAUCACCCAGUUCACCCCGCUGCCUGCAGUAUGGGCUCUCAGCAAGGGAGAAUCAGCCUGUGCCUCUCUCUGGCGGUGCCACCGGGAACAUUACACACUAAGCAGUGGUACUAGGCUGCUGCCGUUCCCAGCAGUGCCUGGCACAAGCCUGGGAUUACCGAGGAGGUGAGGGAGUAAGGGACUUGUAUUUUCCUGGCACAUUUUUAUGUCAGGUUUUGUCUUCGGUCUUUUAUGUACAAGAUUUCAUUUAGCCCUCAUCAGAGCUCCACGAGUAAGACGUUAUUUCCAUGAGGAAACUGAAGGGCGGAGUGUUUAUCUAGAACCUGUCAAUGGCUUCUGGGAGAGGUAGGCACAAUCCCCAAGAAGCCUGUUUCCAAAUUCCAUGUUCACUGUUGCUUGAGCCCUGGAGAGUUCUGUUGGUUUGGGCAAGGUCAGAAAGGCAACUCUUUGAUUUUUUUCAUCAAGAGUCGCAGAAAUUAAAUUCAGAAAAUCAGACUUGUCAGAAUUGCUGAGGUCAGAAAAUACCAAAGAGGCAUCCUGGGUUUCAUGCUCACACAGGUAAGUGAACAAUGAGAGGGAUGGAUGGUCAGCCCCUUACUCUUCAGUAUUCAAGAGAGUGACCACGUGCAGGGGGCCCCAACACCUGGCUCUGCCAGUCACUAGCUGUGUGACCACAUGCAUGGUAUUUGUGUUUCUCAGCCUCGAACUGUCUUGGGUAUAAAGAACUUGCCCCUCCCAGGUUUUGUAUGAGGAUAACAGGAGACACUGCCUUAUCACAUUGAGUUCUGUACGUGUGGUGUGCUGGGAGGUCCUGGCAGUAGUGCUGGUUGUUGACUAACUAGUACUUUUGACCAUAGUCAUUUCACUUAGGAGCACUUUGCUUUGCAGAGUCAUCAUAUUUAUUUGGAAUUAUUUAGCAUUGGAAGGAAGAGAUGAGAAGGAAAGAAAAGGGACAGGAGACUAAGGACAGGGAAGCCGGUGGGUGAUGCUUGAGAAAGUGAGUGGGAGCCCAUUACCAUGUGUGGGACCACCUUAGUCCAGGGGGCUGCUGGCAGCCAAGAUUGCUCUUCCAGGAGACAGUAGGAUCCCAGGAGUGAUGUGGUGAGCAUCCAGACCACCUGGGACAAAAGCAAUGGGUAAAGGACCUUAUCUGCAAGGUCAUUUUCUCAGGAAAAGUGUUGGAAGCCCACCUCUUGGCAGGGUUUAGGCCUGGCUGGGGGUGACCUGACUGAGGGACUCAUCUUCCCUUCUGCUUUAUCAAGAUUGUAAACCACCUCCUUUCAGGCCAGCCAGCCCUCAACUCCAGCCUUUGUAUAAGGACAAGCUUCCUGGUUGUGUUUGUUUAUCAUGCAAAUGGUUGCAAAUUUUCUGAUUGGCAUCCCUCCUCCUCCUCCCUUUCCUUCAUUCCCCCCUCCCAUCUCUUUUUGCUCUGAUGGUUUUAAGAAUCAUUAUUUCUCCUGUGCUUUCUCCUGGGGAAAAAAAAAAAAUAAAGAGAGAGAAAGAGAGAAGUCUAAUCCUCGACUCAGGCAAUGGCAUCUAAUUAUCUUAUUAAAACUAUCUGGAGUCCUUCAGCCUUUUAUGCCCAUGGCCCUAAGACAAUCUUCCUACUUUCUGAUGUCAAUUUUUGGUGACUUUUAAUACCUGCUGUUGAGUAUGAGGUGAAGGGAACUUCACUUUAAAACAUAUAUUUAUCAAAAUACGAUUCUCCAAGCAAACAAUCUCAAUUUAAGAAGCUGACAAGGAGAAGGAGCAAUUUGGAGUGUUUACUCUUACAACAGAGGCCCACCUGAAAUGUCAUCAGUCUAGAAAACAGGAACACUGGAAUAAGCCAAGCUUAUUUUUAAAUAUAAAAUGAUAAUUUUUUAAAAACCGCCUUUGUUGUUUAGUCUGAAGGCAGCUCACCUGAUCAUUUGUCAAAGCCAU